rnacentral:misc_RNA from 1 species
UCGAAUAAAAUAGCCAUCUGCAGUCGCGGACGUCGUACAGACGUCAUAUUUAUUACUUGAAAUUGAAAAAAUAUUUUUUCGUUUGUACAAAUGCAAAACGCUUGUUAUAAUUCAUGUAAUUGUUAAUUUUUUGUUAUUUUAUUCAAAUUAUACAACUAUUGAGUUGUAUCUGAAUCAACCCUUGAUAAAUACUGUUCAUUGUUAAUAUCUGAAAAAAAAAAAAAUCUUUUUUUUUUAUAAAAUUUGUUGAAAUCUACCGAUGAUUGAUAAAUUACAAAUACGUAAGAUCUCUGUUAGAGACGUAAGACGGCAAAGCAGGCCGGUUUUUUAAAUUCCCGUGAGGAAUGACGCUUGAAGACCCAUUCUUUGUCGUCAAAGACGAGGUAUGUAAAGCUCUAAACAAAACUCGUGGUUUGUAUGGUCGCUGGACCGACUCUCAGUCAAAUGUCACCGUCGUAACACCAAACGGAGUAGGCCCUGGAGGACUUCCGGUUUCUAAAGAAGAAUUAGAGUGGACGACCACAGAGUUAAGAAACGCUUUGAGGUCUAUUGAAUGGGAUCUCGAAGAUUUGGAAGACACAAUUUGUAUUGUGGAAAAGAAUCCAAAUAAGUUUAAAAUUGAUAACAAGGAACUAAAUUUUCGAAGAGCUUUCAUUGAUCAUACCCGAGAUGAGGUCAAGAUCAUGAAAGAUAAAAUGAAUCUCAGCCGUGGAAGAGAUCGUGACAGAACUGCGAGACAGCCGCUGCUGGACAAUAGUCCAGCUCGCGCUCCAGUUAAUCAUGGAACUACAAAAUAUAGUAAAUUAGAAAAUGAACUUGAUAGUCCUAGUCGACAAUUCCUGGAAGAUACUCUACAGCAGCAAGGGCAAAUGAUUAGACAACAAGAUGAUCAAUUAGAUUUGAUCGGUGAAAGUAUUGGAACUUUGAAAACUGUAUCAAGACAAAUUAAUUCUGAAUUAGAUGAACAAGCUGUUAUGCUAGAUGAUUUUGGUAAUGAAAUGGAAGUGACAGACUCCAAAUUGGAUGCUACAAUGAAAAAAAUGGCCAAGGUUCUUCACAUGAGUAAUGAUGAUUAUUUAAAUAAAAAAUAUAUUAUUAAUAUAUACUUGAAGUGCUGCAUUGGUAUCAAACUGAUAAGCUGAGGGUCUUCCUUCCAAAGUUGAAAAAGCAACAGUUCCUUUAGUUAAUGGAGAAAUAUCUGAAUAUUCAGAAUUACACAGAACUCGAGUAUCUUCUCCCCGAAUAGUUUCUUUGACAUCAGGAAGUCCAUUCCCCAACUCUCCGGUCUUGGUGAUUCAAAUAAUACCCGUACGUAUAUGAUGUCAAAAGUUUUACCUAAAAAAUUACAGCAGUUAGAAAAAAAACAAAUUCUACGCUAUUGCUGCAUUACAAUCUAUUUUACAUAAGAUUGUUUUUAAGAGAGAAAAAAAAACAUAUGGUCGGCAGAUGGAUGAAAUCAAAGACCUCUAGAAUGAAAGGUCCCUGUAGGUAUGACGUUUUUUUUUAUCUUAGACUAGCUAUGAUAGAUUAAAAUUCUACUCAUUUUACGUUCAUAAAAAUUAAAAUAGUAUCAUACAUAAGCUUCAUUUAAAAAAAAAAAAAAAAACAGUUUUU